AAAUGUGGCCAUAUGUCUUUGUCAAAGCCUGAUCUCAUCAGUUCUCAGAAGCUAGGCAAGGUUGAGCCUGAUUAGUACUUGGAUGGGAGAAAGCUGGGAAUAUCAGGUGCCACAGUGG
rnacentral:rRNA from 1 species